rnacentral:rRNA from 1 species
GUCCACGCCGUAAACGAUGGAUACUAGCUGUUGGGAGCAAUCUCAGUGGCUAAGCGAAAGUGAUAAGUAUCCCACCUGGGGAGUACGUUCGCAAGAAUGAAACUCAAAGGAAUUGACGGGGGCCCCGCACAAGCGGUGGAGCAUGUGGUUUAAUUCGAUGAUACGCGAGGAACCUUACCAAGGCUUAAAUGUAGUUUGACCGAUUUGGAAACAGAUCUUUCGCAAGACAAAUUACAAGGUGCUGCAUGGUUGUCGU